rnacentral:rRNA from 1 species
CCCUUAGAUGCUCUGGGCCGCACGCGCGCUACACUGGUCGAUGCAACGAGUUUCUUUCCUUGGCCGACAGGCCUGGGCAAUCUUUGAACAUCGAUCGUGAUCGGGAUAGAUUCUUGUAAUUUUUGAUCUUAAACGAGGAAUUCCUAGUAAACGCAAGUCAUCAGCUUGCAUUGAUUGCGUCCCUGCCCUUUGUACACACCGCCCGUCGCACCUACCGAUUGAAUGGUCCGGUGAAAUCUCCGGACUGGCGUGAGUCGGAGCAAUCUGACAAACACCGGAAAGUUGAUUAAACCUUACCAUUUAGAGGAAGGUGAAGUCGUAACA